GUAGUGCCCACAUACACUGAGCAGUGCAAAGGCUCCAGCUGGGUGGUUUGGAGCUGAGGAGGCUCUGGUGCUGAAAGGUGCUUAUCCCAUCUCCUGAGAGAUUUUCAGAAUCCUGCUUUCCCUUUCUCUCUGGUUCCUUUCUUCAGCUGUUCUGUGUUCCUGAGAGCCAAGAAACUCCCCAGAAGCCCCAUGCGAGUGGUGCCUAUUGUUUCCAUGAGCGGAGCCUCCUCUCAGUAAGUCCCUGGUUUUUGUCUUGCCUGUUGAUUUUCCCACAUCUCUCCUGAGCUCCCACAAUUCAUGCAGAACUCCUUGGGACUCU
rnacentral:lncRNA from 1 species